AUGUCAAAAAGGGCCAUCUGUGCUCCUUUCCUCAUGGGGGCUCAGUGUGCAAUGGCUGCAAACAGCAGCCUCCUUGGCAGUGUAUGCAGCCUGUUGCUUGUAGGGAUUGCUCUAAGGGACCUUGGAGACAGUC
rnacentral:snoRNA from 1 species